rnacentral:rRNA from 1 species
AUUGAACGCUGGCGGCAUGCUUUACACAUGCAAGUCGAACGGUAACAGGCCGCAAGGUGCUGACGAGUGGCGAACGGGUGAGUAAUGCAUCGGAACGUGCCCAGUCGUGGGGGAUAACGCAGCGAAAGCUGCGCUAAUACCGCAUACGAUCUAUGGAUGAAAGCGGGGGACCGUAAGGCCUCGCGCGAUUGGAGCGGCCGAUGUCAGAUUAGGUAGUUGGUGGGGUAAAGGCGCACCAAGCCAACGAACUGUAGCUGGUCUGAGAGGACGACCAGGCACACUGGGAGUGAGACAAGGCCCAGAUUCCUACGGGAGGCAGGAGUGGGGAAUUUUGGACAAUGGGCGCAAGCCUGAUCCAGCAAUGCCGCGUGCAGGAAGAAGGCCUUCGGGUUGUAAACUGCUUUUGUACGGAACGAAACGGUCCUGGUUAAUACCUGGGGCUAAUGACGGUACCGUAAGAAUAAGCACCGGCUAACUACGUGCCAGCCGCCGCGGUAAGAC